UGGACUUACACAAAAUAGAAUUUAUGAGACUUCUUGUGCUUUUAGGAUGCCAACUUGUAACAAUAUAUAGUAAGUAGGUCUUUUAUAAGCAAACAACUUGGCAGAUAUUUCCCCAAAUUUGACAAUACUACUAAAAAUUUAUGUGACAUUAAGUGUAAUGAGUUAUGAAAUCAAAGGAACCCUCGUAUACUCCAAGUAAUGAAAAACAAAUUUUGGUCAACCAAAUCAAUAAAAGAUGGAAAUAUCUUUCGAUUCUCUGUAGAAAAUAUUGCAAAAUUAGUGUCAUAUAAAUAAGUGAUUUAAAGGGUAUGUAGCCAAAAAAUGUCAGGUAGUAAGUUAAUAGAAAUAUAUGUUAUUUUUCUGGUUGUUGUGAUGUUUUUGGUACUUACCAAUUCUUUAAAGUUCAGUAAGAUUUCUUUUUUCAUUCUUGUUAAAUGAUUGCUUAAUGAAUAAUCAUUAUUAUUUAAUGAAUGGUGAAUAGUUAAUUUUGUGUUGUCACUUUGCAUUCUAUAAGAGUCCCUCCUUCUGUCAUUUUUACAGGUCUCAGGCCCCACAAAAUCUGGAUCCACCCUUGCUCUCAGCAAUCCUGUUGAUAAAAAUUAUUCAUCAUUCAAAACCAAGAUCAAAUGUCACUUCCUUUAUAAAUUAUUUCCUGAAUCCCUAAUCAGGUUUGGAGAUAGAGCCACCCUAUAUGUGAAGAAGUCUGGGACUUUCUGCUUUAGGACUUCUGAAGAAGAAACAUGAAGUCAAUACAUAGCGAGGGGCCAGACGGAUUGUGUCGGAAACAAACACUGAGAACCAAAGAAGACAUUAAGAAAAAGCAAAAACCAAUCAUUUGGGAAGAUUUGUUUCAGUUUAGAAGAUCAUCCUCAACAGCAGAAACAAACAUUUUGAACCAGAGAUGAAGACCAAGAUAAAGAAAAAAUGAUUCCCUGCGACUCAUGAAAACACAUGCUUAGUCUUUUAGACUAAAUUUAAGGAGAGACGUUUUAUAUAUAUUUUUUCAACUUGCCAAGAUAUGCUAAACACAUUAAACAAACCCAGUCCUCCUGCUCAAAAUGUAUGAAAUUUCUAUUCCAUUUUUAGGGUAUCUGCACACAGCUGACAUAUCUGUUUGAACUGAAAAAUUGCUUCUUGUAACUUCUUUUUCUUCAUGUAUUUUAUUCCAAGCCAACAUGUCAAUUUUGAUUGUAAGUGUGGUGUGUCCAAACCACGUGUGGUACAUACUAUAAAUGGAAAAAAAAUGUUGAUAAAUUUAAUUAUGUUUAUCUGAACAUUUGAUAAAGCAAAACAAAACAAGAAACCUUCAAGAUUAUCUUUUAAGGAUUUUCCAAACCAAUUGGAGCUAAACCUCAUUAAUAUUUUUCCUAUAUGGGAAUUACGUGAUUUAUACAAUUUUGCCAUUUUGAAACAUAUAUUUCGAUAUCUGAUACUUUAGGACAAAGCUACCAGUGGGUUGAUUCUGGAAUACUGAUGCCUUGCAUCUAAUUAUUUAACAGAUGCUAUUAGUUUUUCUCUAAAUAAUGACUUUUUAAAAUUUUGUUUGGUUCUAAAGCUUAUUCAUUUGUUUUGGGAAAGAGAGGGCAAGUGGGGGAGGGGCAGAGAGAGGGAGACAGAGAGAAUCCCAAGCAGGCUCCACACCAUCAGUGCAGAGCCUGAUGUGGGGCUGGAACUCACAAACUUGAGAUCAUGACCUGAGCCGAGUCAGAUGCUUAACCAACUGAGCCACCCAGGUGCCCCUCUAGGUAAUGACUUUUUA
ensembl:lncRNA